CUAUUUUUUGUGCACUUGGUGCAAUAUCUGCAACUUUAAGUCAUUUAGCAAUUUUUGCAGUAUGGAAAUAGCUCUAGCGUUUUCAGCAAACAUAUUUCUUUAGCAUCUUCAGCUAAAAGCAUUCACACCAGCAUUAUUGCAGCUGUGCGUUCAGAUGGUGUUUUCGGGACUGGGAUGACGUUUCCCUGGCAGUCAUCCAUCCCAGCCUACGUGCCUCUGCCAUGUCAAACCAGCCGCUCGUGCCCGGACUCAUCCAGAUCGACGUCACAAACCCGUUUGACGUUGGAAACAAGCUCCAACUGGAGAAAGCUUUUAAGCAGUUUUCCUCUUUGGGGGAGCAAACCUUGGCUGACCAGGUUCUUCCCCCCACUCCUCUGUGGGGUCCCACAGGGCUCAGCUCCAGGACCCCUGGAUCCAUACGUCCAAAGAAAACACAAAGUCCGGGUGUCUAACAGAUAGAUGGUUUGGAAGCUUCUCUGAGACUCCAAGUUUGGAUUAAAGUUUCUGGACAAACAUAAGUUAUUGCAAACAUGUGGCUUGAAGUGGAGGUUGACCUUAAGGUUAAAGGUCAGAUCAAGACUGAUCCAAUUGAGCAGAAGAAAAUCCUGUCUGGAGACUCCACAGAUCCCUCUGUGAACCGUUUCCUGUUAUCAUGACACGUUCGGAUUUGUCAGGAAAUGUAA